rnacentral:rRNA from 1 species
AUUGAACGCUGGCGGCAUGCUUUACACAUGCAAGUCGAACGGUAGAGGGGGCAACCCCUUGAGAGUGGCGAACGGGUGAGUAAUGCAUCGGAACGUGCCCAGUCGUGGGGGAUAACGCAGCGAAAGCUGUGCUAAUACCGCAUACGAUCUCUGGAUGAAAGCGGGGGACCGAAAAGCCUCGCGCGAUUGGAGCGGCCGAUGUCAGAUUAGGUAGUGGGUGGGGUAAAGGCCUACCAAGCCAACGAUCUGUAGCUGGUCUGAGAGGACGACCAGCCACACUGGGACUGAGACACGGCCCAGACUCCUACGGGAGGCAGCAGUGGGGAAUUUUGGACAAUGGGCGCAAGCCUGAUCCAGCAAUGCCGCGUGCAGGAAGAAGGCCUUCGGGUUGUAAACUGCUUUUGUACGGAACGAAACGGUCUGGGUUAAUACCCUGGGCUAAUGACGGUACCGUAAGAAUAAGCACCGGCUAACUACGUGCCAGCCGCCGCCGUAA